AGAGUUUGACCUGGCUCAGGAUGAACGCUGGCUGUGUGCCUAAUACAUGCAUGUCNGAACGAAGCACUUGUGCUUAGUGGCGAAUGGGUGAGUAACACGUACUUAAUCUACCUCUAGGUUUGGGACAACAUUUGGAAACGAAUGCUAAUACCGAAUAUUCCUUUUCCUCGCAUGGGGGAUUGGUAAAAGGCCCGUUUGGGUCGCCAAGAGAUGAGAGUGCGGUACAUUAGUUAGUUGGUAGGGUAAUGGCCUACCAAGACGAUGAUGUAUAGCGGGGUUGAGAAGCUGAACCGCCACACUGGGACUGAGAUACGGCCCAGACUCCUACGGGAGGCAGCAGUAGGGAAUAUUCCACAAUGAGCGAAAGCUUGAUGGAGCGACACAGCGUGCAGGAUGAAGGUCUUCGGAUUGUAAACUGCUGUAUAAGGGAAGAAAAACCGGUGUAGGAAAUGACAUCGGCUUGACGG
rnacentral:rRNA from 1 species